GAAACUAGCUUUGCAGGGAAUGAAAGGUCAAACAGGUGAUAAAGGAAAGCAAGGGGUAACUGGUCCACGUGGCUUGCCUGGGCACAAAGGUCCCCCUGGAUUGACUGGUCACUUUGGAAAGAAGGGGAUUAAAGGUGUCCAAGGCAUGAGAGGGUCAAAAGGAAAUAAAGGCAACUGUGG